UACGAAGGGGGCUAGCGUUGCUCGGAAUCACUGGGCGUAAAGCGCACGUAGGCGGAUUGCUAAGUCAGGGGUGAAAUCCUGGAGCUCAACUCCAGAACUGCCCUUGAUACUGGCGGUCUCGAGUCCGGGAGAAGUGAGUGGAACUGCGAGUGUAGAGGUGAAAUUCGUAGAUAUUGGGAAGAACACCGGUGGCGAAGGCGGCGACCUGGUCCGAUACUGACGCUGAGGCGCGAAAGCGUGGGGAGCAAACAGG
rnacentral:rRNA from 1 species